UAGGGAAUCUUCGGCAAUGGGGGGAACCCUGACCGAGCAACGCCGCGUGAGUGAAGAAGGUUUUCGGAUCGUAAAGCUCUGUUGUUAAGGAAGAACGAGUGUGAGAAUGGAAAGUUCAUGCUGUGACGGUACUUAACCAGAAAGGGACGGCUAACUACGUGCCAGCAGCCGCGGUAAUACGUAGGUGGCAAGCGUUAUCCGGAAUUAUUGGGCGUAAAGCGCGCGUAGGCGGUUUUUUAAGUCUGAUGUGAAAGCCCACGGCUCAACCGUGGAGGGUCAUUGGAAACUGGAAAACUUGAGUGCAGAAGAGGAAAGUGGAAUUCCAUGUGUAGCGGUGAAAUGCGCAGAGAUAUGGAGGAACACCAGUGGCGAAGGCGACUUUCUGGUCUGUAACUGACGCUGAUGUGCGAAAGCGUGGGGAUCAAACAGG
rnacentral:rRNA from 1 species